GAAACCCGCGAGCGGGCCCCUUGCCGUCCCAGCAGCCCGACAGGCCCUCUUUUUUCAAAUUUUUUUUUCCCUUUCUUCUUCUUCUUCCUCCUUCCAGUCCGGUCGCCCACUUCCUGCGCCCUGCCCAAGCUUGCUCCGCACCAAAACUCCUCCAGAUCGGAUCUCCUCUCCUUCCUCUUCAAUCUGUGGUAUUUUUUUUUAAUUUUUUUCUUUUCUUCUUCCUGCUGUUAAUCAUAUCCAUGUUCUUCCUCUUUUAAUUUUUUUACAAAUUUCUUGUACU
rnacentral:lncRNA from 1 species